CUCCAACACAAAGACCUCCACUAUAACACCAUUUCCUUACCUUAGCUCUCGCGUCUAACGGACGACCAUAUCUGAAACUCUGAAAAGCAUGCAAUAUAUUCAAUAAAAUACAAAAUAUAUUGAAUACAAAAUAUAAUGUUUAUUUUGAUCUGAAAAAAUUACCAAAACCCACAAUAUGGUUGUAAAUAAAAAUCUACCAAAAUUAUUGUUAUAAGUUAUAACCAAUGCGCUAACAGAUUAUAAAUUAGCGUAAUAUAUUUUACGUAACAAAUAGAAAUUGAAAUCAAAAUAUCUAAAAAUGUUAUACAUAUGAUGCACUCAAAUUACCUGAUAUUUUACCUGAAUUAUCUUAUAAAAUCAAACCAAAAAAGAACCAAAUUAACCUGAAUUUUUCUAAUAUACACUAUACAGUAUACAUGUUCCUACUUUACUAUCACCCA
rnacentral:lncRNA from 1 species